rnacentral:misc_RNA from 1 species
AUUUUUUUUUUUUUUUUUUGGGUGCGUGACUUUUUAGAUAUUUGAAUUUUGGGGAAAUGUAAAUUAGGAGCCCCAAAAUAAAGGGCGAGAGCUGAACUGAAUGGCGAUGACGAUGAUGAUGAUAAUGACGACGACGAUGAAGAUUAAGGAAGAACACAAAAAAACUGUGUCUCUCUCUCAUCUGGGCCACGUCAGUUUGGGAUCCACGACGGCGUGGCUUUCCAACUGGAAUACCGAGAUUGUAGGAGAAUUGACAACGCUGAUAGCCCUUAUUUCUCUGAUGGAGACUGAUUCGCUAGAGGAAAAAGGCUUACAGCCCAGUACCUCGUGGCCCAAUAAAACUGCUAAAUACAUAAAUCAACCCAGCCCAAAUAGAGGGCUCAAGCCCAUCACAACAAAACCCUAACAGAAAAGAGCAAUGCCUAAACCCGUGACACGGAUGAGCCUAAGCAUCAAGCCGCACAUCCAGAAUAAACACACUUUUCACCGCCGCUCUUUUUUUUUUUUUUUU